GGGCCGGGCACGUGCUUACCAUGCAAGUCGAACGGAAAGGCCCCUUCGGGGGUACUCGAGUGGCGAACGGGUGAGUAACACGUGGGCAAUCUGCCCUGCACUUCGGGAUAAGCCUGGGAAACUGGGUCUAAUACCGGAUAGGACCUUUAGACGCAUGUCUUUUGGUGGAAAGCUUUUGCGGUGUGGGAUGGGCCCGCGGCCUAUCAGCUUGUUGGUGGGGUGAUGGCCUACCAAGGCGACGACGGGUAGCCGGCCUGAGAGGGUGUCCGGCCACACUGGGACUGAGAUACGGCCCAGACUCCUACGGGAGGCAGCAGUGGGGAAUAUUGCACAAUGGGCGCAAGCCUGAUGCAGCGACGCCGCGUGGGGGAUGACGGCCUUCGGGUUGUAAACCUCUUUCACCAUCGACGAAGGUUCGGGUUUUCUCGGAUUGACGGUAGGUGGAGAAGAAGCACCGGCCAACUACGUGCCAGCAGCCGCGGUAAUACGUAGGGUGCGAGCGUUGUCCGGAAUUACUGGGCGUAAAGAGCUCGUAGGUGGUUUGUCGCGUUGUUCGUGAAAUCUCACGGCUUAACUGUGAGCGUGCGGGCGAUACGGGCAGACUAGAGUACUGCAGGGGAGACUGGAAUUCCUGGUGUAGCGGUGGAAUGCGCAGAUAUCAGGAGGAACACCGGUGGCGAAGGCGGGUCUCUGGGCAGUAACUGACGCUGAGGAGCGAAAGCGUGGGGAGCGAACAGGAUUAGAUACCCUGGUAGUCCACGCCGUAAACGGUGGGUACUAGGUGUGGGUUUCCUUCCUUGGGAUCCGUGCCGUAGCUAACGCAUUAAGUACCCCGCCUGGGGAGUACGGCCGCAAGGCUAAAACUCAAAGGAAUUGACGGGGGCCCGCACAAGCGGCGGAGCAUGUGGAUUAAUUCGAUGCAACGCGAAGAACCUUACCUGGGUUUGACAUGCACAGGACGCGUCUAGAGAUAGGCGUUCCCUUGUGGCCUGUGUGCAGGUGGUGCAUGGCUGUCGUCAGCUCGUGUCGUGAGAUGUUGGGUUAAGUCCCGCAACGAGCGCAACCCUUGUCUCAUGUUGCCAGCGGGUAAUGCCGGGGACUCGUGAGAGACUGCCGGGGUCAACUCGGAGGAAGGUGGGGAUGACGUCAAGUCAUCAUGCCCCUUAUGUCCAGGGCUUCACACAUGCUACAAUGGCCGGUACAAAGGGCUGCGAUGCCGCAAGGUUAAGCGAAUCCUUUUAAAGCCGGUCUCAGUUCGGAUUGGGGUCUGCAACUCGACCCCAUGAAGUCGGAGUCGCUAGUAAUCGCAGAUCAGCAACGCUGCGUAUCGUAAAUAUCU
rnacentral:rRNA from 1 species